UACAAGCACCUUCCUGUUGAUUUACUUUGGAGCUACGUGCAAAUCUCUUCUUUGCCCCUAGACUGAUUUAUUUCCUCAUUUUGACUAAGGGCACGGCGGUCUAUCUACUGGACAUGGUAGGCCCUGCCAGAACGCGCCGUUUGCACCAAUGCCCGUGGUGAGCACGCUGGCGUCACGCACAGUGCAAGCUCUGGCUCGGUCCGGCCACUGUGCUCGUCUCCUCCCUCCUCGUCUCGACCUCCAUUCAUGUCCUGGAGCUCGCCCGUGCUCGACUGCAUCACCCUGCGUCGCUGCUUCGUCGUGGUUCGCCAUAAAUGAGCCGCUAGCUCCAUGCCCGUGCCGCGUCCAGCCUCUGCCCACCAUUAAAGCUUGGUCGGGAGCUCGCUCGUGAGCUCUAGGGCUCUCCCCCGCGCCUAUAUAAGGACCCCCGAACCCCUCCGCACCUCACCAGCCUCUCCCCAAGCCUCCGCGACCUGUAGAGUCGCCCGAUCUCGCCAGAGUUCGCCUCGGCCAUUGCCGGUCUUCUUGAUUCCGGCGAGCAUAGUCCACCUCUCCACCUCCCGACCCGUCCUACGCGUUCCCCUCCUACCCGCGGUUCGCCCCCACCCCUUGCCCCCUCGCCGGAGCCGCUGCUUCACCGAGUACCUCCACCACCCGAGCUCUCUGUAGCCUCCCCGGUCGCCGCACCUCCCUGCCUCUCCACCACUCUCCGGCACCUCCUUUGCCUCUGAAUGGAUGCGGUGCUCUGCCCUGAACCCGCCGGUGCCCGCGCCUUGGCCUGAGGUGGCCGGAGCAGCCCGUUCCAUCGCCAGCGCCCGCCCAGCUCGUCUCUGUUCUCCUCCCAUCGCCACUUCCCCUAGGCAUCCCCGCCGUCCCUGCUGCCUCUCUCUGCUGCGGCCGGCCGAUCCGCGCCCGCCGGUGGCCUCCGCCUGGCCGGACUUGGCCGGAGCCGCCUGGGCCCCUCGCGGCGCCCACCUCCCCUGCUUCGCUACUCUGUCUCCGAUCGGGGAGGCAGGAGGAGGAAGACGACGACCUGGCUCGGCCCCCCUGGCCGCUGGACCCCACGUGCCAGCCACACACCCCGGGCCCAGGGACCCAUUGGUGAUAAAAUCUUCACGGAAUGGUCCUUCUUCUUCCACACAUCAUAACUCCGCAACCGUAACUCCGAUCGAGCCCCCUCCAAGAGAAAACCGUCCGGUGUUUCGUUCCGCGGCUUCACCGCACUUUUUCCUGCAGUCUCCGUCACCCCAGGCAAGCCACAAUACCCACUUGCAUGAUAGUCAUGCAGUAGCCAUGGUUUUCAACUUGAAUAUUUAUUAACUAUUUGCUUGUUUAAAAUAUGGUUAUCGUUGUUCGGUUAUGAUUCUUGGUUAGUGCUUACUUUCUUGCUAUGUUGUUAUGCACCUGGUUAUCAUGCCCUGCUAGUUGCUAGUAUUUCUUUCAUAUGCUUAUGCUUGCUAGUAGUACAUGUUGAUGUUGGUGAUAGUCUUCGGUGCAUGACUACUGUCUGUUCCAAGUACCGUUGUUGUGCAUGUUCCAUUGCAUCCAGCUGGUCAAAUGCUUGCAUGAUGGCAUUGUUGAUAUGUUCUUGCAUGAUAUUUAUUGUUGAUGCUAGUGUUCAUGCUAUGUCUCGGAGAAGUAUGUUCUUGUGAUGUUCAUGCUAGUCAGUAUGCCAUGCUCAGUUGGACAUAAUUCAUUGUGGAUAUGGUGGAUAGUUAUGUUGCACCCGUGCUUAUGUUGAU